UGGAGACCUCCUUCCAGUGGCUAUGGAGGUCAUAUCUGAAUCCCUUAAGCAAUCUCCCCACAUGCCUAAGGAUAGCCUCCCGCACACACAGGGUAUCAAUCUCUUCGAUAUCAAAGUCGAGCUGCACAAAUAAUAUACAACAUAUAAGAUUUUAAAAAAAUAAAAGUUAAGUAUUUAUCAAAUUAAAUAUAAAAUAAAGAAAAAAAUUUGUAUUUAAAAAAUAUAACAUAAUUUAUAUUUAGUUAUCGAUAAAUGAUCAAGAAGGAUCUGCUUCUACAGUCUCAAAACUCUCCGCCAAUCGA
rnacentral:lncRNA from 1 species